GCCGCCAAUGCUGCCCACCCAGCAGCCACUGGACCACCAGGGAGAUAGAGAACCACUUCCCCCCCAGCACUCCCAAAGGUAAGGAGGCUGGGAGGGGCUUAAAAUAAAUAAAUGUGUUAAUGUUAGUGAGUGUGUCUGUUAGUGUGUGAGUGUGUCUGUUAGUGAGUGUGUGUAUGUCUGUUAGUGUGUAUGUUAGUGAGUGUGUGUGUCUGUUAGUGAGUGUGUGCUUGCCUGUGAGUGUGUUUGUUUGUGUGUGUGUGUCUGACUGUGUGUAUGUGUCAGUGAGUGUGUGUUUCUGGUAGCUAGUGUAUGCGUAUCUGUCAGUGUGUGUGUGUGUG